GAUGAACGCUGGCGGCGUGCCUAAUACAUGCAAGUCGAGCGAACGGACGAGAAGCUUGCUUAUCUGAUGUUAGCGGCGGACGGGUGAGUAACACGUGGAUAACCUACCUAUAAGACUGGGAUAACUUCGGGAAACCGGAGCUAAUACCGGUUAAUAUUUUGAACCGCAUGGUUCAAAAGUGAAAGACGGUCUUGCUGUCACUUAUAGAUGGAUCCGCGCUGCAUUAGCUAGUUGGUAAGGUAACGGCUUACCAAGGCAACGAUGCAUAGCCGACCUGAGAGGGUGAUCGGCCACACUGGAACUGAGACACGGUCCAGACUCCUACGGGAGGCAGCAGUAGGGAAUCUUCCGCAAUGGGCGAAAGCCUGACGGAGCAACGCCGCGUGAGUGAUGAAGGUCUUCGGAUCGUAAAACUCUGUUAUUAGGGAAGAACAUAUGUGUAAGUAACUGUGCACAUCUUGACGGUACCUAAUCAGAAAGCCACGGCUAACUACGUG
rnacentral:rRNA from 1 species